UCGGAACUUCCGACUUGUGGCGCCGGGUGCGUACGCGUGGGAUCUGCCCUUGGGUUCGGAAUAACACGAGAAAUGACUGCUAAUACCGGAUGAUGUCUUCGGACCAAAGAUUUAUCGCCCAGGGAUGAGCCCGCGUCAGAUUAGCUUGUUGGUGGGGUAAAGGCCCACCAGGGCGACGAUCCUUAGCUGGUCUGAGAGGAUGAUCCCCCACACUGGGACUGAGACACGGCCCAGACUCCUACGGGAGGCAGCAGUGGGGAAUAUUGGACAAUGGGCGAAAGCCUGAUCCACCAAUGCCGCGUGAGUGAUGAAGGCCUUAGGGUUGUAAAGCUCUUUUACCGGGGAAGAUAAUGACUGUACCCGGAGAAUAAGCCCCGGCUAACUCCGUGCCCGCAGCCGCGGUAAUAAAGCC
rnacentral:rRNA from 1 species